GCGCGAAAACUUUACAAUGCUGGCAACAGCGAUAAGGGAACCUCGAGUGCCUGGUUACAAAUCUGGCUGUCGAGAUGCCUAAAAAGCAUUUCAUAGCAAGGGCCGGGCAAGACCGGUGCCAGCCGCCGCGGUAACACCGGCGGCUCGAGUGGUAACCGUUAUUAUUGGGUCUAAAGGGUCUGUAGCCGGCCGGAUAAGUCUCUUGGGAAAUCUGGCAGCUCAACUGUCAGGCUUUCAGGAGAUACUGUCUGGCUCGAGGCCGGGAGAGGUGAGAGGUACUUCAGGGGUAGGGGUGAAAUCUUGUAAUCCUUGAAGGACCACCAGUGGCGAAGGCGUCUCACCAGAACGGACCUGACGGCAAGGGACGAAAGCUAGGGGCACGAACCG
rnacentral:rRNA from 1 species